AUUAUUUUAUCUCGUCCGCCGCCUUCUUCUUCAUCUUCCCCUAUUUAUAUUGUUCUCUCAAAAUUGGAAUGAACCAGUUCGAUCUCUAGUCAUCUUCUUCCUCUCAUUAUGCGAAGAUUCAAAAACCAUGGUAGCGUAACUCUAAAGAAGUUUACGUCUACGAUGGUUUAUAUAUAACUUCGAGCUUUGGUGUAAAAGAUUGCUCAUUUGAUGGAUGCAAUUAUGCAAGUCAUUGACGAUCUUACAGCUUGCAUCUAAGCAUAUUAGCCUUUUGAAGAACUCUGGUAGUAUCCAUGAGAUGAAAUUAGAAUUCCGUUGCUAAUUUCAAGUUCAUACGGGUUGGAUGAUACUGAAGAAGGAUUCGAACACUGGGUUGAAUGUGAAUUGCAAGUAUUCACCAGUUGUCUCAGUCUGGUAAUGGAAAAUGUAUGUUAUUGAUAAUAAAAUAUUAAAUGUGUUUCUGAUAAUAAGAGGAUAUUUGAUUUUAGAACUAGUGAAGUUGUGUAACAUAUUGAUCCAUGUAAUUGUAACCCAAAUGAAAUAAAAGUAAUUUAGUUGAAUGUGUUC